rnacentral:tRNA from 1 species
UCUAAGGAUGAGUGAAAGUAAAAUUUCACUCUAAAUAAUAUACAUCGGUAAUGUUGACCGUCCUCAUUUCUCUUCUUAAAGUAAUGUUUCCUUCUUGUAGGGCCGGUAGCUCAGUUGGUUAGAGCACACCCUUGAUAAGGGUGGGGUCGAAAGUUCGAGUCUUUCUCGGCCCACCAAUAACUCAAUGGGGGAUUAGCUCAUCUGGGAGAGCGCCUGAUUUGCAUUCAGGAGGUAGCAGGUUCGAUCCCUGUAUCCUCCACCAGGAAACAUUUAGUUAUUAAAACUGUAAAUAAAAAUAAUUUAUAUCAAUAUCUAUAUCCGAACAUUAAAAGUUAUUAUUUAAUGUUCAAAAUAAAAAUUUGAUCACAACACAAAUUAAAUUUCUUUAAAAAGAAUUUUUUUCUGUGCAUAAAU